rnacentral:rRNA from 1 species
AUUGAACGCUGGCGGCAGGCCUAACACAUGCAAGUCGAGCGGAGCGGCGGACGGGUGAGUAAUGCCAAGGCAUCUGCCUGGUCGUGGGGGAUAACGUCCGGAAACGGGCGCUAAUACCGCAUACUCUCAGAUACGCCUAGGUGGGAUUAGCUAGUUGGUGGGGUAAAGGCCUACCAAGGCGACGAUCCGUAACCGGUCUGAGAGGAUGAUCAGUCACACUGGAACUGAGACACGGUCCAGACUCCUACGGGAGGCAGCAGUGGGGAAUAUUGGACAAUGGGCGAAAGCCUGAUCCAGCCAUGCCGCGUGUGUGAAGAAGGUCUUCGGAUUGUAAAGCACUUUAAGUUGGGAGGCGUUACCAACAGAAUAAGCACCGGCUAACUUCGUGCCAGCAGCCGCGGUAAUUC